GGCUAACUACGUGCCAGCAGCCGCGGUAAUACGUAGGUGGCAAGCGUUAUCCGGAAUUAUUGGGCGUAAAGCGCGCGCAGGCGGUUUCUUAAGUCUGAUGUGAAAGCCCACGGCUCAACCGUGGAGGGUCAUUGGAAACUGGGGAACUUGAGUACAGAAGAGGAGAGUGGAAUUCCACGUGUAGCGGUGAAAUGCGUAGAGAUGUGGAGGAACACCAGUGGCGAAGGCGACUCUCUGGUCUGUAACUGACGCUGAGGCGCGAAAGCGUGGGUAGCAAACAGGAUUAGAUACCCUGGUAGUCCACGCCGUAAACGAUGAGUGCUAGGUGUUAGGGGUUCCAACCCUUAGUGCUGCAGUUAACGCAAUAAGCACUCCGCCUGGGGAGUACGGCCGCAAGGCUGAAACUCAAAGGAAUUGACGGGGGCCCGCACAAGCGGUGGAGCAUGUGGUUUAAUUCGACGCAACGCGAAGAACCUUACCAGGUCUUGACAUCCCGCUGACCGGCCUAGAGAUAGGCCUUCCCUUCGGGGCAGCGGUGACAGGUGGUGCAUGGUUGUCGUCAGCUCGUGUCGUGAGAUGUUGGGUUAAGUCCCGUAACGAGCGCAACCCUUGAUCUUAGUUGCCAGCAUUUAGUUGGGCACUCUAAGGUGACUGCCGGUGACAAACCGGAGGAAGGUGGGGAUGACGUCAAAUCAUCAUGCCCCUUAUGACCUGGGCUACACACGUGCUACAAUGGAUGGUACAGAGGGCAGCGAGACCGUGAGGUUUAGCCAAUCCCUUAAAGCCAUUCUCAGUUCGGAUUGCAGGCUGCAACUCGCCUGUAUGAAGCCGGAAUCGCUAGUAAUCGCGGAUCAGCAUGCCGCGGUGAAUACGUUCCCGGGCCUUGUACACACCGCCCGUCACACCACGAGAGUUGGCAACACCCGAAGUCGGUGGGGUAACCUUUAUGGAGCCAGCCGCCGAAGGUGGGGCCAAUGAUUGGGGUGAAGUCGUAACAAGGUAGCCGUAUCGGAAGGUGCGGCUGGAUCACCUCCUUUCUA
rnacentral:rRNA from 1 species